CUUCCUCUUCUCUUCUCUCCGCACUGCGUUGCAACCGCGAGGUAGCGGCUCGGCUCGGACAUUUGCACCAGCCCAGCCAGCUCGGGAAUUUUUAUUCCUAUUAUUUUUAUUUAUUUUUCUUGGUGCCUUAUUUAUUUAUUUUUUUAAAUUUAUUUUUGUAUUUAUUUUUUUUAGGCUCUUUCUCUUUUAGCCCACAAAUGCACGGGUGCGUGCGCGCAUCACGCGGACAGCCGCCGCGAACAGAGCCGUGAUGGGACGCCGGAGCUCCGGGAGAUGCGCGACUUCGGCCGCGCCGCUGCUGCCGCUUCUGGUGCUUCUUCUCCCGGCCACCGCGCUCGGCCGAGGAUUUGAUGACCUUUUUCAAGUCCUAAGUGCCUGGAUGGAUGGAAUGAAAAGCCUAAAAAGCUUCCAAGCGUGUGAGAGACGACAGACGAGAGGCGUCCGCGGUGAGAGCCAGCAGCAUGGUCCGUCCGGCACGCUGCCGCGCUUCGUGGAGGAGCCGGUGGACGCGUACAUCAUCAAGAGCAACCCCAUCAAGCUGCGUUGCCAGGCCCGGCCCGCCCUGCAGAUCUUCUUCAAGUGCAACGGCGAGUGGGUCCACCAGAGCCAGCACACGUCCCGCGAGCACACCGACCUGGGAACAGGGCUGAAGAUCCGUGAGGUGAUGAUCAACGUGUCCCGCCAGCAGGUGGAGGACUUCCAUGGUCCUGAGGACUACUGGUGCCUCUGCGUCGCCUGGAGCCACCUAGGAACAUCCAAAAGCCGUAAGGCGUCCGUGCGGAUCGCCUACCUGAGGAAGAACUUUGAGCAGGACCCUCAAGGCUCGGAGGUGCCACUGAGCGGCAUGAUCGUGUUGCAUUGUCGGCCACCAGAUGGCGUGCCUGUGGCCCAGGUGGAAUGGCUGAAAAACGAUGAGCUUUUGAGCGCCGGCAGUGGCGACACCAAAGGCGAUCACCAUCUGGUCAUCUCUCAGGCGCACCUCUCCGAUUCAGGAAACUACACCUGUGUCGCUAGCAACAUCGUGGCCAAGCGGCGCAGCGCCACGGCUGCUGUCGCCGUGUACGUGAAUGGCGGCUGGUCGUCAUGGAGCGACUGGUCGGCGUGCAACGUACGCUGCGGCCGCGGCGUCCACAAGCGCUCCCGCACGUGCACCAACCCGGCGCCGCUCAACGGCGGCUCCUUCUGCGACGGCGCGUCGGUGCAGAAGAGCGCCUGCAUGGCGCCGUGCCCGGUGGAUGGCGGCUGGGGCGCGUGGACCGAGUGGUCGGCGUGCGGUGGCGACUGUGAGAGGAGACGGAGCCGCGAGUGCACGGCGCCCCAGCCCAAGCACGGCGGGCGGCUGUGUGAUGGUGUGGCGCUGGCUACCGACAACUGCACCGGAGACCUCUGCACGCAAAAUGGAAAAUUGCUGCGUGAUGCCAAGCCACAAGGUGUGAUAGAAAACGGAGUCGGCAGCGUCGGCGGUGGCGGCGGCAGCGACGUGGCGCUGUACUCGGGCCUGGCGGCCGGCGCUGCGACGGUGGCGCUGCUGAUCGUUGGCGUCACCGUGUACCGACGCAGCCGCAGCGACUACGGCGUGGACGUCAUCGAGUCGUCCGCCCUCGCCGGAGGUUUCCAGUCCUUCAACUUCAAGACGUCGCGGCAAGAAUCAUUGCUUUCCGCAGGCAACUCUCUGCUGAUCCACUCGUCGCUGCAGCCCGACCUGAGCGUGUCUCGCACGUACACCAGUCCCAUGUGUUUCCACGACGCCAUGGACAAGGAGCUCCUGGACCCCCUGCCCGAUCUCAAGAUCAAAGGGAUCACAGAGGGUCCCGACUUCCACCCUCAGACGUUCCCGAGGGGCCUGUCCCCAGAUUACCGGGCCGUCGUCGUGGGCGCCACGCUGAGCCGAGGAGAGAGGAACCUGUUUGGCCCUGUCAGGCCGCGACACAAAGCCACGGCCGUGUUGGGCCACGCCGGGGGACGCCUGGUGGUGCCGAACACAGGCGUAAGUCUGCUGGUGCCCGUCGGGGGGAUCGCUCAUGACACCACAUGGGAGACCACCGUUAUCGUCAACCAGGAGGACAGCAGCUCAACACUGGGCGAAGGAUCAGAGAUCUUCCUGAGUCCCGCCGUCACGUACGGUCCGCCGGGGCUGGAGCUGUCCUGCCCCGUGGUCCUGUCCAUGCCGCACUGCGCCGAGGCGGCCGCCGACCACUGGAUCACACGACUGAAGAGGCAGACGCAGGACCGCAAGUGGGAGGAAGUAAUGUGCGUGCAGGAGGAGUGCACUUCCUGCUACUGCCUGCUGGAGGCGCAGCGCUGCCACGUGCUGCUGGAGCGGCCCGGUCGCUACGCCCUUGUGGGCGAGCCGCUACGACCGCACGCCGCCAAGCGCCUGCGACUGGCCGCCUUUGGAAGCCCGGACACCGCCGACCCAAUGGGCUUCAUCCUCAGGGUCUACUGCGUGGAUGACACGCCGCACGCUUUCCAAGAGGUGACGGCAGUCGAGCGCGCCCAAGGCGGGCGCCUGCUGGAGGAGCCCAAAGUGUUGUCAUUCCGUGGGAACGCGCUCAGCCUGCAAGUCAACAUCCAGGAUGUCAUGCAGAUGUUGUGGAACAUCAAGCCUUUCACCACCUGCCAGGAGUUCUCCUUCUGUCAGGUGUGGUGGGGCAAACAGCGCCCCCUGCAGUGUGCCUUCUCCCUGGAGCGUAUCAGCACCUCCUCCUCCUCUUCAUCCUCAUCUCAUCUCUCGUGUAAGAUCAGUGUGCGUCAGGUUCAAGGUGAAGAGCAAAUCCUGCAGGUCUACACGACAGUGCAGCCCGAGAACCCAAAGCUAGCGGUCCCGUUCUCCUCUGAGUCCGACUGUUGCGUCACCUCCCAGGCAGGAUCGCGGGCCUUCAAGAUCCCGCUCUCCAUCCGCCAGAGGAUCAGCGCCACCUUUGACGGCAGCAACGCCAAGGGCAAGGACUGGCGCCUCUUAGCCCAGAAGCUGGACGUGGACAGAUGCGGAGGCGUGCAGGAGAGCUGGCGGGACGGCGUUCCGGAACUUGGCCUACUUCGCCCGCCACGAAAGUCCGGCAUCAGUGAUCCUGAGCCUGUGGGAGGCUCAGCAGCAGGACUCGGCCGACCUGGACUCCCUGGCCAGUGCCCUAGAGGAGAUCGGCCGGGUGCAGUCGCCCCCCGGGAGUGCAGGCAAUGACAUGCGUGGUUCCCUAAACUCGGCAAGGACUGCAGAUUGAAAUCCCAGACAACUGCAUGAAUGCUGAGGAGCGAACACUAGCAGGGACUUCCUGGAAUAAUACGGAAGCUCCUUUGAGACGGUAACAAACGUCAAGGUGAGGUUUGUGUUGUCGGGAGGGACGGACAACAAGCGUCCAUCUUGGAGAGAUGACUUCCUGUUCCUCUUCCCGUGGGCGUGCAAAACAUUUAGUGUGACGUCAUGUUGUCAUUUUUUGCUUUUGCGUCGUGUCUUUAAUUGUGCGAAAAGUGGAGGUAAUAACAAACGCAAAACAGUGGAGACUUGAUGCUAAACGUGCUAAAAAAAACUAAUUAAAAAAAAAAAGGUAGCAUGAGGAAGAUUUUUUUCCCGCUGAAAGGUAUUUUACCUUGGACCACAACCUGCUCCACUUGCUCCCAACAGAAUAAAGUGGCUUUAUGUCCAAAUGUGUGUCGGUCUCCCUUCUCACCGUCCGUAAUACUGUGUCAAAAGGCAUUUGUAAUCUGGAUACAAUCUGGUGUGGACAUAGCGGGUUUUGAGCACAAAACAUCAAAGGUCAUGUGACUCAUCAAACCGAUGACAUCAGAUGGUCUCAGACAAAGGCCGCAUUCCUGUGCAGCGUGUUAAUCCGCUGUGUUAACGUUCAACCAGACUCAACAAGCUAAGCGGGCGCGGACGGGCCCCUUUGCCACCUCUGCCGGUUCCAGCCGCCGGCCGGGAUGCGAUGAGCUGCUGAGUCCGCAAGAAGACUUUCCAGAAGCUUCUGCCAGCAGUCUCGCUGGCUUCCAAACCCCCCAAAAUCCUCCGUAAAUCCUACCAAGGCCUCAAUGGGUUCCGUGACGCAAAGACAAGAUGACGCUAACCAUGUUGGCUACACGAUUCUAAACUUGGAAGAAACUACUAGUUUUAUUAGUCAAGUUAGGAGAUCCUAAUUUAGCAAGAAGCUCGUUUAGUCACUACCUGACACUAAACAAGUUGGCUACAAGAUGCUAAACUUGGAAGAUACCAUUCAUAUUUGGUAGUAAAGUAAGCAGAUCCUAAAUUUUAAAGAGGCUACUUUAGUCGCUACCUGAUGCUAACAACAUUGGCUAAAUUGCUGA